UACGAUUCCUGUGGCAUAUCAAUCAGAUUGGCCUACUCUGCACCAUUUCUUUCCCCUUCUAGAUGGCCUCCCUACAUUUCAGAAGCUGGCCAGCUACAAAUUAAACAUUAAGAUUCCCUUGCAGCUGGGGUUCUACGUGUGUUUCUGUUUCUCCAUGCAGAUAUAUUCACAGAAGACUUGGGGGCAGAAGUGAGCAAUAACACACGGUGGCACCACAGGUAUGGUCAUGGGUAGGAAAUCCUAGAAAGAAGAGAGAAGUAAGGAAGAGCUCCAAAUUCUGUGUACAAACUCUUUUCAAAGCCUUGUCUGACUUAGAACUGCACAUGUUGGGAGCAAGACUCCAAGGAACCCAGGGGAGCAACAGCUGCUUGAAAGCAAAAAAAAAAAAAAAAAAAAAAAAAAGUUGCACAAAGAUCUUGGUAGCUACAUGGAUAUUGGGAAGAUAGAGUUUAGGACUUUGAUUCCCAUCAGCUUAAUGAUAUUUGGAAAACAUCUCAGACUGUUCACGGAACCCAGAAGGCCAUGGAUUAGAAAUAAGAAUCACAUCUCAGGUAUAAGGGCAAAAUGGAAAUGGAUUUGUUUUAACAGCCUGACACUACAUCUUCAUACCAGUAAUCUGAUCCCCCACUAAUUUGUCUGCUAGAACAAAACUUCGUACUUGUCUGAGAAAGACAGGAGAAUUUUGUGCUGGAAGCUCAAUGGGCAAAUGGAUCAAUAAGAUGAAAUAGUGCAGAAACAAACCCAAAUAAACAUAUUUCAUUAAUACCUGGCUCAGUUGUAUUUACCAGAAAAGCAAAACAAAACAAAACCCAAAAUAGCUAACCUCAAAAUGACAGUGGCUUUAACAACUCUGCAAUGUGUUAUCUAAUACAGUAAAAUAUUUCUGGACAUCUGAAGAAACAGAAAAGUGUUACUCAUAGCCAAGAGAAAAAUAUGGUUGAUAGAAACAGAAUGACUGAUCAAUCAGAUGAUGAAAUUAGCUGACAAGGACUUUAAAAUAGUUACGAUUAAUUUGUUAACAAACCUACUAAAAAAGAUGAAAGUAAUGGGAAGAAUUUGGGGAACUUCAGAGGAGACAUAGAAAGUCAACAAAGGAACCAAAUGGAAAUUCUAGAGCUAAAAAUAUACAAUAUCUAAAAUCAAAGAUUAAUUGCGUUAUUAAUAAAUAAUAGAAAUAACUGUUUAAUUAUUUGAAAAGAAAAAUAACAAUAGACUUCUACCUGACAUCUUGUACCAGGACAUAAGAUUUAAAUGUUAAAACAUAAUUUUGAUGUAUAAACAUAUAACAUUAUAAAAUAUUUAAAGUAAAACCAUAAAAU
rnacentral:lncRNA from 10 species